GGCAUUUUUAUACAGGUAAAAAAACAAAUUAGAUAUAAAAAAAACAGUUUAUACUCAGUUAUAUUGAUAUCUUGAUUAAUUCCUGUCUUGUAAAGAUUAAUGUUAUUAUUUCCUUUUAGCUUGUAUAAUAUUUAAUUAUCCCGGUUAGAAGCGGAAUAUGCUAUGAGUUCUACCUGUUAAAAUCAUAUAAAUACGCCGACAACAUAGAAAUUCUUAACAGAUGUAAUAAAGACAUCAACGAAUAUAAAGCUUACGUUGGAGUUAUUUAUAUUUGCUUUUGCUUUUUCUCCAAUUAUUUGUUGGCACGAUUCAACAAAUGUUAAACCUGCGGAUCCUUACAAAGCUCUUAUACAGUCCAAUGGACGAUACUGUGCCAUGAGCGAUGAUGAUAGGGCCGAUGUUAAUUUUUGCUUGUUGGAAAACAGAAAUUUUCUUUUGUUGGAAUUCUACAAAAACUGUAUUCAGCAACUGAAAUUCUUUCAAACUAUGGCAGAAAUCAACAAUUUCAUUUGUCAAUCCAGACAAACAGCGCCACGAGUAUAUGCAAAAUUUAUUAAAUGUUUUGCUCCAGC